UCGUUUUUGUAACUUAACUUUUCGUGUCCCCCAUUAAAUUUACAGAAUUGUCCACCUUAAAAUAAUCCAUUACACCCUUAAGGCCUUGGUAAUUAAAAACAAAUUAAUUAAAAAAAAACUGCUAUCCCAAUUCAAUUAGUAACCGAAAACACUCUGAACCGAAAACACUCAGAAAAUCAAACCCUUCGAAUCUCUCUCCAAAUAUUCAAAAACCCUCAUUCAAUCACCCCUAAAUUGCAGAAUUUCGUAAUCCUUCCUUCAACCACCCCUAAAUUGCUCAUUCAAUCACCCUUCAUUCAAUCGUUAAUGGAUAUCCCUCAAUCAAUCACCCCUAAAUGGCAGGAUUUUGUAAACCCUACCCGAAAAUUUCUGCUUAUUCAAUUGCAUUGCAAUGUUUAAAUUCCAACUUCAAGAAUAUCGAUUUCAAGCAUAUUCAUCAAAUUGCGGUCAAAGAUCGGAACUAAUAGGGGUUGGAAAUUAAUUUAUGUAUUCGACGGAGAAAUUGGAGAUGCACCGCUGUUUCUUCACCAACAUUGGAAACCGGAAACUCUGAUUUUCCGACGACUAGGAAGCUGUGGCGAAAUCAGUUAAUAUUCUGAAGAAUCAUGCGUUUGAAUGGUGCCUGGAUUUUCUAUAGAACAUACGGCCAUGGACACGUGAAAGUUCUUCUUAUAAUUGGUUUAGCUGGGAUACAUGAUUCAUGGGGCCUCAAAUCAGAGGGUUGGUUGGGACUGAGGUACCCAAUGAUGAUGAAUCAACGGUGGUCGGUUGAUGAUGCGAAUGCAGGGAAUGGGAGUAUGGAGGUUUGUGCAGGGAACGGGUCUGGAGCUUGGCUCCUAUGAAAGGUCCGAGUAUACGUAAUUUUUUUACAAGAAUGGUUAUUUUUUUUUAUUGAAUUUGAUGUUUAUUUGUGGAAUUGUUGAACAAUUUUGAAUUAUGAGAUGAACUCACAUUAGGAGGUGGUAGUGGUGUCAAACAACAAACUUCAGGCUUCAGAUUCAAAGAUAACUUUAAACCGAUGUCAUAUUAGAGCUGAUUGUCUGAUACAAGUGAAUUUGAUGCGAUUUGAGAUCCAAUACAACAGAAUAGCUGAUUGUCUGCUAGGGUUUAUGCUCGGACAAUGUUUUUAGGUUGAAAUAAGCCCUUGAUUGAA